UGGGGUGAGGCUCAGUGGUAGAGCACUUGCCUAGCAAGCAGGAGACCUUGGAUUUGAUCCUUAGCAUCUCAA
rnacentral:tRNA from 1 species